rnacentral:rRNA from 1 species
AGUGGAUGGGGAACAACCUAGUUGUGCGUGUGUAAAGGUAGUGCCAAGAAAAGCGGUGAUCAUGAUGAAAAUCAAUUCCCGGUACCCGAAACCGACACAGGUGGGCAAGUAGAGAAUACUAAGGGGCGCGAGGUAACUCUCCCCAAGGAACUCGGCAAAAUGACCCCGUAACUUAGGGAGAAGGGGUGCCACCGAGAGGUGGUCGCAGUGAAGAGGCCCAGGCGACUGUUUAGCAAAAACAUAGGUCUCUGCAAACUCGAAAGAGGAGGUAUAGGGGCUGACGCCUGCCCAGUGCCGGAAGGUUAAAGAAGUUGGUCAGUCUUAGGAUGAAGCUAGCGACUGAAGCCCCGGUGAACGGCGGCCGUAACUAUAACGGUCCUAAGGUAGCGAAAUUCCUUGUCGGGUAAGUUCCGACCCGCACGAAAGGCGUAACGAUCUGGGCGCUGUCUCGGAGAGAGGCUCGGCGAAAUAGGAUUGUCUGUGAAGAUACGGACUACCUGCAUUUGGACAGAAAGACCCUAUGAAGCUUUACUAUAGCUUGGAGUUGUGUUCGGGCUUCCUGUGCGCAGGAUAGGUGGGAGGCGUAGAAGGUAUUCUUGUGGGGAUACUGGAGGCAACGGUGAGAUACCACUCUCAGGAGGCUAGAAUUCUAACUUAAUUAAGGACAGUUUCAGGUGGGUAGUUUGACUGGGGCGGUCGCCUCCAAAAAGGUAACGGAGGCGUACAAAGGUUCCCUCAGACUGGUUGGAAAUCAGUCGCAGAGUGCAAAGGCAGAAGGGAGCUUGACUGCGAGAAGUACAGUUCGAGCAGGGUGGAAACACGGUCUUAGUGAUCCGACGGUGCUGUGUGGAAGGGCCGUCGUUCAACGGAUAAAAGUUACUCUAGGAUAACAGGCUGAUCUCCCCCAAGAGUUCACAUCGACGGGGAGGUUUGGCACCUCGAUGUCGGCUCAUCGCAACCUGGGGCGGAAGUACGUCCCAAGGGUUGGGCUGUUCGCCCAUUAAAGCGGUACGUGAGCUGGGUUCAGAACGUCGUGAGACAGUUCGGUCCAUAUCCGAUGUAGGCGUGAGAAUAUUGAGAGGAGCCUUCCUUAGUACGAGAGGACCGGGAAGGACGCACCGCUGGUGUACCUGUUAUGAUGCCAAUUGUAAACGCAGGGUAGCCAAGUGCGGAGAGGAUAACCGCUGAAAGCAUCUAAGUGGGAAGCCCACCUCAAGAUGAGUAUUCUGGUGUAAGGUCACGGGAAGACGACCCGUAAAUAGGCACGAGGUGGAAGUGCAGAGAUGUAUGAAGCCGAAGUGUACUAAUAGACCGUCGGCUUGAC